rnacentral:tRNA from 1 species
GGCUACGUAGCUCAGCCGGUUAGAGCACGGCACUCAUAACGCCGGGGUCGGUGGUUCAAGUCCACCCGUAGCCACCA